rnacentral:siRNA from 1 species
AUGUUAGGUGUUCAAUUUUGUUA